GAUGAACGCUGGCGGCGUGCUUAACACAUGCAAGUCGAACGGAAAGGCCGAAGCUUGCUUCGGUACUCGAGUGGCGAACGGGUGAGUAACACGUGGGUGAUCUGCCCUGUACUUCGGGAUAAGCUUGGGAAACUGGGUCUAAUACCGGAUAUGACAAUCUCUUGGAUGGGGUUGUGGAAAGCUUUUGCGGUAUGGGAUGAGCUCGCGGCCUAUCAGCUUGUUGGUGGGGUAAUGGCCUACCAAGGCGUCGACGGGUAGCCGGCCUGAGAGUGUGUACGGCCACAUUGGGACUGAGAUACGGCCCAGACUCCUACGGGAGGCAGCAGUGGGGAAUAUUGCACAAUGGGCGCAAGCCUGAUGCAGCGACGCCGCGUGGGGGAUGACGGCCUUCGGGUUGUAAACUCCUUUCGCAACCGACGAAGCUUUUUGUGACGGUAGGUUGAGAAGAAGCACCGGCUAACUACGUG
rnacentral:rRNA from 1 species